CGUAGGGUGCGAGCGUUAAUCGGAAUUACUGGGCGUAAAGCGUGCGCAGGCGGUUUUGUAAGACAGAUGUGAAAUCCCCGGGCUCAACCUGGGACCUGCAUUUGUGACUGCAAGGCUAGAGUACGGUAGAGGGGGAUGGAAUUCCGCGUGUAGCAGUGAAAUGCGUAGAUAUGCGGAGGAACACCGACGGCGAAGGCAAUCCCCUGGACCUGUACUGACGCUCAUGCACGAAAGCGUGGGGAGCAAACAGGAUUAGAUACCCUGGUAGUCCACGCCCUAAACGAUGUCAACUGGUUGUUGGGUCUUUACUGACUCAGUAACGAAGCUAACGCGUGAAGUUGACCGCCUGGGGAGUACGGCCGCAAGGUUG
rnacentral:rRNA from 1 species